rnacentral:rRNA from 1 species
AACGAACGCUGGCGGCAUGCCUAACACAUGCAAGUCGAACGAGACCUUCGGGUCUAGUGGCGCACGGGUGCGUAACGCGUGGGAACCUGCCCUUAGGUUCGGAAUAACUCCCCGAAAGGGGUGCUAAUACCGGAUAAUCUCUUCGGACCAAAGAUUUAUCGCCUUUGGAUGGGCCCGCGUUGGAUUAGCUAGUUGGUAGGGUAAAAGCCUACCAAGGCGACGAUCCAUAGCUGGUCUGAGAGGAUGAUCAGCCACACUGGGACUGAGACCCGGCCCAGACUCCUACGGGAGGGAGCAGUGGGGAAUAUUGGACGAGGGGCGAAAGCCUGACACAGCCAUGCCGCGGGAGUGAUGAAGGCGUUAGGGUUGCAAAGCUCCUUGAGCCGGGAUGAUAAUGACGGUACCGGGAAAAUAAGCACCGGCUAACUACGUG